UACGUAGGGACCAAGCGUUGUUCGGAUUUACUGGGCGUAAAGGGCGCGUAGGCGGUGCGGUAAGUCACUUGUGAAAUCUCUGAGCUUAACUCAGAACGGCCAAGUGAUACUGCAGUACUAGAGUGCGGAAGGGGCAAUCGGAAUUCUUGGUGUAGCGGUGAAAUGCGCAGAUAUCAGGAAGAACACCUAUGGCGAAGGCAGCACUCUGGGACGGUACUGACGCUGAGACGCGAAAGCGUGGGGAGCAAACAGG
rnacentral:rRNA from 1 species